rnacentral:rRNA from 1 species
AUUGAACGCUGGCGGCAGGCCUAACACAUGCAAGUCGAACGAAUGGCGGACGGGUGAGUAAUGUCUGGGAAACUGCCUGAUGGAGGGGUCUAACGACGGGAACCGGUAGCUAAUACCGCUUACCAUCAGAUCUGCCCAGAUGGGAUUAGCUUGUUGGUGGGGUAACGGCUCACCAAGGCGACGAUGCCUAGCAGGUCUGAGAGGAUGACCGGCCACACUGGAACUGAGACACGGUCCAGACUCCUACGGGAGGCAGCAGUGGGGAAUAUUGCGCAAUGGGCGCAAGUCUGAUACAGCAACGCCGCGUGUGUGAAGAAGGCUUUCGGGUUGUAAAGUUCUUUCGUUGGGGAAGCGUUACCUACCCAGAAAGCCCCGGCUAACUCCGUGCCAGCAGCCGCGGUAAUAC